rnacentral:rRNA from 1 species
CGGCCGCGUCGACCAUGAGAAAUAUCACAGUAAUUCGCGGCCGCGUCGACGAUGAGGAGCUUGCUCCUCUGACGUUAGCGGCGGACGGGUGAGUAACACGUGGAUAACCUACCUAUAAGACUGGGAUAACUUCGGGAAACCGGAGCUAAUACCGGAUAAUAUAUUGAACCGCAUGGUUCAAUAGUGAAAGACGGUUUUGCUGUCACUUAUAGAUGGAUCCGCGGUCGACGCGGCCG